rnacentral:rRNA from 1 species
GAUGAACGCUGGCGGCGUGCCUAAUACAUGCAAGUCGAGCGAACCACUUCGGUGGUGAGCGGCGAACGGGUGAGUAACACGUAGGUGAUCUGCCCAUCAGACGGGGACAACGAUUGGAAACGAUCGCUAAUACCGGAGAGGACGAAAGUUUAAAGGUGCUUCUGGCACCGCUGAUGGAUGAGUCUGCGGCGCAUUAGCUAGUUGGUAGGGUAAAGGCCUACCAAGGCGACGAUGCGUAGCCGACCUGAGAGGUUGAACGGCCACACUGGGACUGAGACACGGCCCAGACUCCUACAGGAGGCAGCAGUAGGGAAUCUUCGGCAAUGGGCGAAAGCCUGACCGAGCAACGCCGCGUGAAUGAUGAAGGCCUUCGGGUUGUAAAAUUCUGUUAUAAGGGAAGAACGACUUUAGUAGGAAAUGGCUAGAGUGUGACGGUACCUUAUGAGAAAGCCACGGCUAACUACGUGCCAGCAGCCGCGGUAA